rnacentral:rRNA from 1 species
AGAGUUUGAUCCUGGCUCAGAUUGAACGCUGGCGGCAUGCCUUACACAUGCAAGUCGAACGGCAGCACGAGAGCUUGCUCUUGGUGGCGAGUGGCGAACGGGUGAGUAAUAUAUCGGAACGUACCCUAGAGUGGGGGAUAACGUAGCGAAAGUUACGCUAAUACCGCAUACGAUCUACGGAUGAAAGUGGGGGAUCGCAAGACCUCAUGCUCAUGGAGCGGCCGAUAUCUGAUUAGCUAGUUGGUGGGGUAAAAGCUCACCAAGGCGACGAUCAGUAGCUGGUCUGAGAGGACGACCAGCCACACUGGAACUGAGACACGGUCCAGACUCCUACGGGAGGCAGCAGUGGGGAAUUUUGGACAAUGGGCGCAAGCCUGAUCCAGCAAUGCCGCGUGAGUGAUGAAGGCCUUCGGGUUGUAAAGCUCUUUUGUCAGGGAAGAAACGGUGGACUCUAAUACAGAUCACUAAUGACGGUACCUGAAGAAUAAGCACCGGCUAACUACGUGCCAGCAGCCGCGGUAAUACGUAGGGUGCAAGCGUUAAUCGGAAUUACUGGGCGUAAAGCGUGCGCAGGCGGUUGUGCAAGACAGAUGUGAAAUCCCCGGGCUCAACCUGGGAAUUGCAUUUGUGACUGCACGGCUAGAGUGUGUCAGAGGGGGGUAGAAUUCCACGUGUAGCAGUGAAAUGCGUAGAGAUGUGGAGGAAUACCGAUGGCGAAGGCAGCCCCCUGGGAUAACACUGACGCUCAUGCACGAAAGCGUGGGGAGCAAACAGGAUUAGAUACCCUGGUAGUCCACGCCCUAAACGAUGUCUACUAGUUGUCGGGUCUUAAUUGACUUGGUAACGCAGCUAACGCGUGAAGUAGACCGCCUGGGGAGUACGGUCGCAAGAUUAAAACUCAAAGGAAUUGACGGGGACCCGCACAAGCGGUGGAUGAUGUGGAUUAAUUCGAUGCAACGCGAAAAACCUUACCUACCCUUGACAUGUCUGGAAUCCUUGAGAGAUCAGGGAGUGCUCGAAAGAGAAUCAGAACACAGGUGCUGCAUGGCUGUCGUCAGCUCGUGUCGUGAGAUGUUGGGUUAAGUCCCGCAACGAGCGCAACCCUUGUCAUUAGUUGCUACGAAAGGGCACUCUAAUGAGACUGCCGGUGACAAACCGGAGGAAGGUGGGGAUGACGUCAAGUCCUCAUGGCCCUUAUGGGUAGGGCUUCACACGUCAUACAAUGGUACAUACAGAGGGCCGCCAACCCGCGAGGGGGAGCUAAUCCCAGAAAGUGUAUCGUAGUCCGGAUUGUAGUCUGCAACUCGACUACAUGAAGUUGGAAUCGCUAGUAAUCGCGGAUCAGCAUGUCGCGGUGAAUACGUUCCCGGGUCUUGUACACACCGCCCGUCACACCAUGGGAGCGGGUUUCACCAGAAGUGGGUAGCCUAACCGCAAGGAGGGCGCUCACCACGGUGGGAUUCGUGACUGGGGUGAAGUCGUAACAAGGUA